CCCUUAGAUGUCCUGGGCAGCACGCGUGCUACAAUGAUGCAUUCAACGAGUCUUGCCUUAACCGAAAGGUUCGGGUAAACUUUUGAAAUUGCAUCUUGUCGGGGCUUGAUCAUUGUAAUUUUUGAUCACAAACAAGGAAUUCCUUGUAAAUGUGAGUCAUCAACUUGCAUUGAAUACGUCCCUGCCCUUUGUACACACCGCCCGUCGCUUCUACCGAUGAAUGAUCCGGUGAACACUCUGGACUUGUUGUCUGUCGGAGCAAGCCAAAGACGAUAGGGAAGUUGUGUAAACCUUAUCAUUUAGAGGAAGAAGAAGUCGUAACA
rnacentral:rRNA from 1 species